rnacentral:lncRNA from 1 species
UUUGCUCGGAACUCCUUCCUGUUUUUACUGAACCAGCCGAACACAGGACCCAGAUCCUUGUAUGUGGAAUUGAAUCACACAGCCUUUAUCAUCUACCCAGGACUAAAGGUCUACAAGAUAUAUGAUUCUUCCUUAAUAGGAGAGAACUGUCUGGGUUUUGAUCCUUUGCCUGACAAGGUCAGAGCCAAUGGGAGGAAAGAAGUUUAUAAAAUAGAAUUAUCCAAUGAGAAUGGUGCUAUGGUCUCCUGUGACAUUCAUUCUGAUAUCUGUAGUAUGACACUGGAUGGCUGGAAUCAUGGUAUGUCAGCAGGUAUCUUGGGCACCAAUGACAACGAGGCAGGCAAUGAUCUGUUGCUCCCAAAUGGAUCCCUGGCAGGCAAUCUGGAUGAAUUCACUGAGGCAUGGAAGAUGGAUAGUGAGUGCCAGGCCCAGAGAAGGAAAUCAGAGACCUGUCUCCAAGCUCCGUCCUUCAGACUCUGCAAAGCAUUCUUUUUGGAUGCCCACUCUGAGCUCCGUAAUUGCUUCCGAGUGGUAGAUCCUGCCCCGUUCUACAGUAUGUGCAUACGAGAUACCUGUGAGAUGAGUGAAGUCCAGGCUGCCUGUAACAUGGUCUCUGCCUACGUCCAUCUUUGUGGUCGAGGCUUUGUACCUCUGGCAAUUCCCCCUCGGUGUGCUUAAGAUUCUGCUCAGGGCCGCCCUGGGAUGACAAAGGAGAGCCAGCUCUUUCACCUUUUGACAAGUUCUAGCAUCCAACAACCAGUGGCAACUUUAUAGAGAAUCAUCCCUAAGGAGGGAGAAAAUGCAUCCCCAGGACACCCAAGAAAAUGAAGAAAAUGUCUAGCAUGCUAGCCCAUGGCCUGCUGAAGGGGAGCCAUUUAUUGUUUUAAGUAGCAUGGCCAAGGACAAGGGAGGUAGCCCUCCCCAACAGGUUUCAGAGAAGCUCUUCUUCCUUCACUGCAAGAGCCUAAGACGUUUCCUAUUCUGACCCAAAAAGCUCUCCUCUGACAGUUCAAAGUAGUUGUUUUACUCCAGGAUGAAGAGGAGAGAACAAUCUGCUUUGGUUGGAAAGAAGACUUAUUCAUUGCCUACUUAGUGAGCACCUACUACACAAAGCAUGGUAGUUCUGAAUCAGCUGUAAGGAAGUCUUACUUAUUAAUUCUAUUAACUCAGGUUUCUUCCAGAUGUAUUUUACCAUCAAAUUCUAUUUUGUGAUUGGCUUAAAAUCCUAUUAACUCAGGUUUCUUCCAGAUGUAUUUUACCAUCAAAUUCUGUUUUGUGAUUGGCUUUAAAAAAAUCACCUGAUUUGGCUUUCUUGACCUUACCUGUACCAACUUGUCAUUUCCUACUAGGGUUGCAUUUUGCUCAGGCAGCCAUAGUAUUUCCAAAAAGCGGAGAUCUCUUCAGAUUUUCUUGUUAUCAAGCUAUUUUUUAAAAAAAUUACUGUAAAUAAACUAGAUUUAAAUUUUGAGGUUUGGUGAGAACAACCUCCUGAAUUAAUAUUCAUGGAGAGCUCUCAAGUGAAUAGUAGCAUACCAUGAGCAUAGGUUUUUAUAACUUAUUCUGACCAUGACAUGGAAUAACAGGGUCCUGAUUUAUACUGUAAUCAAAAUUGUGAAUUUGAUUUAAUGUAAUUUCUUUAAUUUUGUUACUUAUUAAUAAAUUUGGUUGAAUCUAAGAACUUAUUUGUUUUGGGGAAUCUAUUAUUUAGUAAAAAUAAUUUAGGUUUAUGUGGUACUUUGAAUAUAUUAUUAAAUCAUGGAUUCUGACACCUGUGUAACCCUCUUGUUUUUAAUAAAUAAUUUAAUAAAAUACAUAGAAUUAUAAAGAAAACCAUUUUUGUCAAAAUAUAG